AGCUAAGGUACUUCCUGCCCUUUGAUGACAAGGCAUUAUUCAGUUUCAUACCCUUCUCUUGAAGUAUCUCUCAGCUCCUUUCUCAUUUCAUAAAGUGUGUCAGGAUGGGAGCUUACAUAUAGUUAACUGAGUCUUGCUCCACAGGCCCUAGCAUAUGACACAUGGUUAAUAAAAUCUGUUAAAAUCCUCCAUCCUAGAUCAAACCCUAUUAGGACACUAGGGGUAACAUCUAUAGGUAAUAAGAUAGGGAAAGGGUCUUGCUUUAAAGCCAGGGUAGGUGAGUCAAAGUGCCAAGAACAUGUGGAUUCAGUUUCACAGCCACGAGUAAAAUCUAGGUGGAAAAGUUUUGUGAUUGUGUUAAAAAAGGAAAGAGGUUCGUGCGUGAGGGCAUGCCUCCUGCUUUCAUGGGUCAAGUAUGUGAAAUGCAGCCAUGUUCAGUCAUUAGACCUGUGGACAAACAUAUAGGUAGGUACUGAAUGUACAUCUGUGUCGUGAUGAGUAAGUGGAGGAGCGAGGUGAGUGUUGGGAGCAAGUAUGAAGGGCAGUUGACUUGGCCAACUGAAAGCUUUAAUGAUGGCAACACUUUCAUUCUAACAUCAGUCUAUUUCCUUCUUUGUAUACCUGGGGUAUGUGCCUGAUGCACACUGCAGAAAAUGGUGCCUCUGCUUACAUUUAGGGCAGUGGUGGUUAAGACUACUUGGCUUUAUUCCUAUUAAAAAUUUUUUUUGGCCGGGCACAGUGGCUCACGCCUGUAAUCCCAGCACUUUGGGAGGCCGAUGCGGGCUGGUCUUGAACUCCUGACCUCGUGAUCUACCCACCUCGGCCUCCCAAAGUGCAAGGAUUACAGGCGUGAGCCACCAUGCCUGGCCAGAAGUAGAGUUUCUAAGAGGCAGGUGUCAAACCCAGGCCAGACUCUGAAACCUGAGCUCUGAAUAUUUUGAGCUCAACUCCACAGUGACUGUAUUUGUUCUAUUAGAGACAACUGCAGAGAGAGGCCAAAGCUCAGAGCAGGCCACUGGCACUGGCAUCUGAUCCUGCUUAACUGCCCUGCAGCGUAGGAUGGAGACACUUGGGUCUUGUCAGGCUAAGGGAUGGGGUAGGAUGGCUAGUGGUGGAAUUGAAGAAAACAAAUGGGCAGAAGGUGGCUGGGUGGAAGUUGAGAGGGCUAUCCUGGCAGUGUUCACUGGAGAAGUGUGAGGCUUUCUGAAUGCCUGCUGACACCAGGGUGGGGCAGGGCUGUGCAGUGCAGUGCAGUGUGAGAUACACCAAAUUGGACUAGAAGCCAAGGCAGGGUUGUGUAGGGGGUACCCCUGGGGCCCUCCACCUAGUGAAGCCCUAUCAGCCCAGUGGCCUCUCACCAGCCCUCAGAGCCCCAGCCAGUUUUCCUUUCUGGGCCUGUACUGCAACCCCCUCAACAUGGCCCACUGGGUAAAAAUUCAUGCUUCAAGACUGAUCCCCAAGCCUGUUUUAUAUUAUAUGAGUAAAGAAUUUUUAAACACUUAUCCCCAGAUAAUGUGUAUUUAUGAAGUAUAGCCCUAUCUGCUUGACUAAUGUAUUAAAACUGUCCUUUUUGACUCCUGGUCCAAGAAACUAUUGUCUGCGCUUCUGUGUAGUUGUGUAUAGCAUCCUGCAAAUUCUGUCAGAAGUCUGUGUUUUCAGUAACACUAAAACUUCUCUCUCAAAUGAUACAAAUUUUCAGCUUUAAGACAAGUUAUGGGGAAUGAAUGUACAACAUAUUGACUAUAGCUAAUAAUUCUGUAUUGUUUACUUGAAGCUUGCUAAGACAAAUUUAAGUGCCCCCCACCAAACUAGUACAUAAAUAAGUCUAGUGAAGGAUGUUUUAAUUAAUUUGAUUUUGGUAAUCAUUACACAAUGUAUAAUUAUAUCCAAUCAUCACAUUGUACACCUUGAAUAUAUAUAAUUUUUGUCAAAUAACCUUAAUAAAGCUGGGAAGAAAACGAUAAAAAAGUGACAAUCUAACAUAUGAUAAGGUAAAAAGAUAUUUCAAGAAAUUUGGAUGACCUCUUGCACCCCACUUUGCUAGCCUCUACUCCCAAGAGUCAUGUUCUGGCUAUGUGAAGUUGAGCAACUUCUUAAUCUUGCCAAGCUUCAGUUCUUAUCUGUAAAAUGUGAUAUUGAAACGAUUUGAGAAUUGUGAGGGUUAAAUGAGAUAAUUCAGGUAAAGCUCUAAAACCCCUGCCAAGAAUAAAGUCUUUUCUUCCCCCC
rnacentral:lncRNA from 1 species